rnacentral:ncRNA from 2 species
UUUUACAUCUAGGGGAGCCUAUAAUGAUAGGCUGAGAAAGAGAUGUUAUCUCUGACCCUCAUAACCUGAUGUGGUUAGUACCACCGUAGGGAAGAUUGAUAAAGUAUAU